UACGAGGGGGGCAAGCGUUGUUCGGAAUUACUGGGCGUAAAGGGCUCGUAGGCGGCCAACUAAGUCUGACGUGAAAUCCCUCAGCUUAACUGGGGAACUGCGUCCGAUACUGGAUGGCUCGAGUUUGGGAGAGGGAUGCGGAAUUCCAGGUGUAGCGGUGAAAUGCGUAGAUAUCUGGAGGAACACCAGUGGCGAAAGCGCGUGACUGGGCCAUAACUGACGCUGAGGAACGAAAGCUAGGGUAGCGAAAGGG
rnacentral:rRNA from 1 species